AGAGUUUGAUCAUGGCUCAGAUUGAACGCUGGCGGCAGGCCUAACACAUGCAAGUCGAACGGUAACAGGAAGCAGCUUGCUGCUUUGCUGACGAGUGGCGGACGGGUGAGUAAUGUCUGGGAAACUGCCUGAUGGAGGGGGAUAACUACUGGAAACGGUGGCUAAUACCGCAUAACGUCGCAAGACCAAAGAGGGGGACCUUCGGGCCUCUUGCCAUCAGAUGUGCCCAGAUGGGAUUAGCUGGUUGGUGAGGUAACGGCUCACCAAGGCGACGAUCCCUAGCUGGUCUGAGAGGAUGACCAGCCACACUGGAACUGAGACACGGUCCAGACUCCUACGGGAGGCAGCAGUGGGGAAUAUUGCACAAUGGGCGCAAGCCUGAUGCAGCCAUGCCGCGUGUAUGAAGAAGGCCUUCGGGUUGUAAAGUACUUUCAGCGGGGAGGAAGGUGUUGCGGUUAAUAACCGCAGCAAUUGACGUUACCCGCAGAAGAAGCACCGGCUAACUCCGUGCCAGCAGCCGCGGUAAUACGGAGGGUGCAAGCGUUAAUCGGAAUUACUGGGCGUAAAGCGCACGCAGGCGGUCUGUCAAGUCGGAUGUGAAAUCCCCGGGCUCAACCUGGGAACUGCAUUCGAAACUGGCAGGCUUGAGUCUUGUAGAGGGGGGUAGAAUUCCAGGUGUAGCGGUGAAAUGCGUAGAGAUCUGGAGGAAUACCGGUGGCGAAGGCGGCCCCCUGGACAAAGACUGACGCUCAGGUGCGAAAGCGUGGGGAGCAAACAGGAUUAGAUACCCUGGUAGUCCACGCCGUAAACGAUGUCUACUUGGAGGUUGUGCCCUUGAGGCGUGGCUUCCGGAGCUAACGCGUUAAGUAGACCGCCUGGGGAGUACGGCCGCAAGGUUAAAACUCAAAUGAAUUGACGGGGGCCCGCACAAGCGGUGGAGCAUGUGGUUUAAUUCGAUGCAACGCGAAGAACCUUACCUGGUCUUGACAUCCACGGAAGUUUUCAGAGAUGAGAAUGUGCCUUCGGGAACCGUGAGACAGGUGCUGCAUGGCUGUCGUCAGCUCGUGUUGUGAAAUGUUGGGUUAAGUCCCGCAACGAGCGCAACCCUUAUCCUUUGUUGCCAGCGGUCCGGCCGGGAACUCAAAGGAGACUGCCAGUGAUAAACUGGAGGAAGGUGGGGAUGACGUCAAGUCAUCAUGGCCCUUACGACCAGGGCUACACACGUGCUACAAUGGCGCAUACAAAGAGAAGCGACCUCGCGAGAGCAAGCGGACCUCAUAAAGUGCGUCGUAGUCCGGAUUGGAGUCUGCAACUCGACUCCAUGAAGUCGGAAUCGCUAGUAAUCGUGGAUCAGAAUGCCACGGUGAAUACGUUCCCGGGCCUUGUACACACCGCCCGUCACACCAUGGGAGUGGGUUGCAAAAGAAGUAGGUAGCUUAACCUUCGGGAGGGCGCUUACCACUUUGUGAUUCAUGACUGGGGUGAAGUCGUAACAAGGUAACCGUAGGGGAACCUGCGGUUG
rnacentral:rRNA from 1 species